rnacentral:rRNA from 1 species
AUGCAGUCGAGCGGAACGACUUAUCUGAACCUUCGGGGAACGUUAAGGGCGUCGAGCGGCGGACGGGUGAGUAAUGCCUAGGAAAUUGCCCUGAUGUGGGGGAUAACCAUUGGAAACGAUGGCUAAUACCGCAUGAUGCCUACGGGCCAAAGAGGGGGACCUUCGGGCCUCUCGCGUCAGGAUAUGCCUAGGUGGGAUUAGCUAGUUGGUGAGGUAAUGGCUCACCAAGGCGACGAUCCCUAGCUGGUCUGAGAGGAUGAUCAGCCACACUGGAACUGAGACACGGUCCAGACUCCUACGGGAGGCAGCAGUGGGGAAUAUUGCACAAUGGGCGCAAGCCUGAUGCAGCCAUGCCGCGUGUGUGAAGAAGGCCUUCGGGUUGUAAAGCACUUUCAGUCGUGAGGAAGGUGGUGUAGUUAAUAGCUGCAUUACUUGACGUUAGCGACAGAAGAAGCACCGGCUAACUCCGUGCCAGCAGCCGCGGUAAUACGGAGGGUGCGAGCGUUAAUCGGAAUUACUGGGCGUAAAGCGCAUGCAGGUGGUUUGUUAAGUCAGAUGUGAAAGCCCGGGGCUCAACCUCGGAAUAGCAUUUGAAACUGGCAGACUAGAGUACUGUAGAGGGGGGUAGAAUUUCAGGUGUAGCGGUGAAAUGCGUAGAGAUCUGAAGGAAUACCGGUGGCGAAGGCGGCCCCCUGGACAGAUACUGACACUCAGAUGCGAAAGCGUGGGGAGCAAACAGGAUUAGAUACCCUGGUAGUCCACGCCGUAAACGAUGUCUACUUGGAGGUUGUGGCCUUGAGCCGUGGCUUUCGGAGCUAACGCGUUAAGUAGACCGCCUGGGGAGUACGGUCGCAAGAUUAAAACUCAAAUGAAUUGACGGGGGGCC